rnacentral:rRNA from 1 species
UACGUAGGGUGCAAGCGUUAAUCGGAAUUACUGGGCGUAAAGCGUGCGCAGGCGGUUUUGUAAGUCAGAUGUGAAAUCCCCGGGCUCAACCCAGGAACUGCGCUCAAUACUACGAGGCUUGAGUGUGGGAGAGGAUAGUGGAAUUCCCAGUGUAGAGGUGAAAUUCGUAGAUAUUGGGAAGAACACCAGCGGCGAAGGCGGCUAUCUGGACCACAACUGACGCUGAGGCGCGAAAGCGUGGGGAGCAAACAGG